UGUGGGAGCGAGCUUGCUCGCGAUGGCGUCAGGUCAGCCAGCUCUCAUAGGGCUGACACUCCGCUAUCGCGAGCAAGCUCGCUCCCACA
rnacentral:misc_RNA from 1 species